rnacentral:misc_RNA from 1 species
GAUGAAGAACGUAGCGAAAUGCGAUAAGUAAUGUGAAUUGCAGAAUUCAGUGAAUCAUCGAAUCUUUGAACGCACAUUGCGCCCAUUAGUAUUCUAGUGGGCAUGCCUGUUCGAGCGUCAUUAAGUCCACUUAAGCCUAGCUUAGUGUUGGGAGACUGCUCCAGUGGUGCUACCCUGUAGCUACCCUGCAGCUCCUUAAAGACAGCGGCGGAGUCGUGUUAUCCUCUGAGCUUAGUAAAUCAUUCUAGCUUUCGAGAGUAUCACUUCACCUGCCGUUAAACCACCUAAUUUUUAUGGUUGACCUCGGAUCAGGUAGGGAUACCCGCUGAACUUAAGCAUAUCAAUAAGCGGAGGA